rnacentral:rRNA from 1 species
AUUGAACGCUGGCGGCAUGCCUUACACAUGCAAGUCGAACGGCAGCACGGGAGCAAUCCUGGUGGCGAGUGGCGAACGGGUGAGUAAAGUAUCGGAACGUGCCCAGUCGUGGGGGAUAACGUAGCGAAAGUUACGCUAAUACCGCAUACGAUCUAUGGAUGAAAGCGGGGGAUCGCAAGACCUCGCGCGAUUGGAGCGGCCGAUAUCAGAUUAGGUAGUUGGUGGGGUAAAGGCUCACCAAGCCGACGAUCUGUAGCUGGGCUGAGAGGACGACCAGCCACACUGAGACUGAGACACGGCCCAGACUCCUACGGGAGGCAGCAGGUGGGAAUUUUGGACAAUGGGCGAAAGCCUGAUCCAGCCAUGCCGCGUGCAGGAUGAAGGCCUUCGGGUUGUAAACUGCUUUUGUACGGAACGAAAAGGUUUGGGCUAAUAAGCUGAGCUCAUGACGGUACCGUAAGAAUAAGCACCGGCUAACUACGUGCCAGCCGCCGCAGUAA